rfam:Macrostomum lignano uti_cns_0012401, whole genome shotgun sequence.
CUAAAAUGAUGUUUCCAGUUCUGCUUCUGCAAUCUCGCUGAAGACAAUUCAAUAAAUACCAAAACUGCUGAUUA